GAUGAACGCUGGCGGCGUGCCUAAUACAUGCAAGUCGAGCGAACGGACGAGAAGCUUGCUUUUCUGAUGUUAGCGGCGGACGGGUGAGUAACACGUGGAUAACCUCCCUAUAAGUCUGGUAUAACUUCGGGAAACCGGAGCUAAUACCGUAUAAUAUUUUGAACCGCAUGGUUCAAAAGUGAAAGACGGUCUUGCUGUCACUUAUAGAUGGAUCCGCGCUGCAUUAGCUAGUUGGUAAGGUAACGGCUUACCAAGGCAACGAUGCAUAGCCGACCUGAGAGGGUGAUCGGCCACACUGGAACUGAGACACGGUCCAGACUCCUAAGGGAGGCAGCAGUAGGGAACGUGCCGCAAUGGGCGAAAGCCUGACGGAGCAACGCCGCGUGAGUGAUGACGGUCUUCGGAUCGUAAAACUCUGUUAUUAGGGAAGAACAUCUGUGUAAGGAACUGUGCACAUCUUGACGGUAAUUAAUCAGAAAGCCACGGCUAACUACGUG
rnacentral:rRNA from 1 species